rnacentral:rRNA from 1 species
AUUGAACGCUGGCGGCAUGCUUUACACAUGCAAGUCGAACGGUAACAGGUUAAGCUGACGAGUGGCGAACGGGUGAGUAAUGCAUCGGAACGUGCCCGAUCGUGGGGGAUAACGCAGCGAAAGCUGCGCUAAUACCGCAUACGAUCUGAGGAUGAAAGCGGGGGACCGUAAGGCCUCGCGCGAUCGGAGCGGCCGAUGUCAGAUUAGGUAGUUGGUGGGGUAAAGGCUGACCAAGCCGACGAUCUGUAGCUGGUCUGAGAGGACGACCAGCCAGACUGGGACUGAGACACGGCCCAGACUCCUACGGGAGGCAGCAGUGGGUAAUUUUGGACAAUGGGCGCAAGCCUGAUCCAGCAAUGCCGCGUGCAGGAAGAAGGCCUUCGGGUUGUAAACUGCUUUUGUACGGAGCGAAAAGGCUCUCUCUAAUACAGGGGGCUCAUGACGGUACCGUAAGAAUAAGCACCGGCUAACUACGUGCCAGCCGCCGCGGUAA